CUCAGUCAUUUACAGUUUGCCAUGAUGAAAUGCAUGUUAAGUCCGUGUUUCAGCUGAUCAGCCUGAUUAAACACAUGCUCUGAGCAGACUAAAGCUAGG